CCAUUUCUCCUCCCGCUUCACUGAAGGGGCACUGCACAGUUUUCCCUCUCUGUGCAGCGCCCCUUCAGCGAAGCAGGAGGAGAAACGG